rnacentral:rRNA from 1 species
AUUGAACGCUGGCGGCAUGCCUUACACAUGCAAGUCGAACGGUAACAGGUUAAGCUGACGAGUGGCGAACGGGUGAGUAAUACAUCGGAACGUGCCCAGACGUGGGGGAUAGCUCGGCGAAAGCCGGAUUAAUACCGCAUGUGAUCUGAGGAUGAAAGCGGGGGACCGUAAGGCCUCGCGCGUUUGGAGCGGCCGAUGGCAGAUUAGGUAGUUGGUGGGGUAAAGGCUUACCAAGCCUACGAUCUGUAGCUGGUCUGAGAGGACGACCAGCCACCAUGGGACUGAGACACGGCCCAGACUCCUACGGGAGGCAGCAGUGGGGAAUUUUGGACAAUGGGCGAAAGCCUGAUCCAGCAAUGCCGCGUGCAGGAUGAAGGCCUUCGGGUUGUAAACUGCUUUUGUACGGAACGAAAAGGCGCCUACUAAUACUGGGUGUUGAUGACGGUACCGUAAGAAUAAGCACCGGCUAACUACGUGCCAGCAGCCGCCGUAAGAC